rnacentral:rRNA from 1 species
CCUACGGGUGGCAGCAGUGAGGAAUAUUGGUCAAUGGGCGAGAGCCUGAACCAGCCAAGUCGCGUGAGGGAGUAAUGCCCUAUGGGUGGUAAACCUCUUUUGUCGGGGAGCAAAAGCAGGACGUGUCCGGCUGUGAGAGUACCCGAAGAAAAAGCAUCGGCUACCACCGUGCCAGCAGCCGCGGUGAUACGGAGGAUGCGAGCGUUAUCCGGAUUUAUUGGGGUUAAAGGGGGCGCAGGCGGAAUUUUAAGUCAGCGGUAAAAUCGUGGGGCUCAACCCCAUCCAGCCGUUGAAACUGGGGAUCUAGAGUGUGCGAGAGGUAUGCGGAAUGCGUGGUGUAGCGGUGAAAUGCAUAGAUAUCACGAAGAACCCCGAUUGCGAAGGCAGCAUACCGGUGCACAACUGACGCUCAGGCACGAAAGCGUGGGUAUCGAACAGGAUUAGAUACCCUAGUAGUC